rnacentral:rRNA from 1 species
CCCCUAGAUGUUCUGGGCCGCACGCGCGCUACACUGAACAGUUCAACAAGUCUUAACCUUGGCCGAUAGGUCUGGGUAAUCUUUGAACGCUGUUCGUGAUUGGGAUAGACCUUUGCAAUUAUGGGUCUUCAACGAGGAAUUCCUAGUAAACGCAAGUCAUCAGCUUGCAUUGAUUACGUCCCUGCCCUUUGUACACACCGCCCGUCGCACCUACCGAUUGAAUGGUCCGGAGAAAUCUCGGGACGGCGGCUUGGUCGCUUGCGUCCGACUGCUGAAACUUGAUUAAACCAUAUCAUUUAGAGGAAGGUGAAGUCGUAACA